AGCAGCCGCGGUAAUUCCAGCUCCAAUAGCGUAUAUUAAAGUUGUUGCAGUUAAAAAGCUCGUAGUUGAAUUUCGGGAUUCAUCCGUUGGUCGGGCUUCACGGUCCGUACUGGUGUGAUGGGUUCCUACCUUCUGAAUAACCGGCAUGCCAUUAAUUUGGUGCGCCGGGGAAGCAGAACUAUUACCUUGAAAAAAUUAGAGUGCUUAAAGCAGGCAAGUGCCUGAAUAGGUUAGCAUGGAAUAAUAAAAUAGGACGGCAUGGUUCUAUUUUGUUGGUUUCUAGGAUCACCGUAAUGAUUAAUAGGGAUAGUUGGGGGUAUUAGUAUUCAAUUGUCAGAGGUGAAAUUCUUGGAUUUAUUGAAGACUAACUUCUGCGAAAGCAUUUGCCAAGGAUGUUUUCAUUAAUCAAGAACGAAAGUUAGGGGAUCGAAGACGAUCAGAUACCGUCGUAGUCUUAACCAUAAACUAUGCCGACUAGGGAUCGGACGAUGUUAAUUUUUAAU
rnacentral:rRNA from 1 species